AACUAGUACCGUGAGGGAAAGGUGAAAAGAACCCUGAAUAAGGGAGUGAAAUAGAUCCUGAAACCAUACGCUUACAAGCGGUCGGAGCCCUUCGGGGUGACGGCGUGCCUUUUGCAUAAUGAGCCUACGAGUUACCGUUUCUAGCAAGGUUAAGCACUUCAGGUGCGGAUCCGUAGCGAAAGCGAGUCUGAAUAGGGCGAAUCAGUUAGUGGCGGUAGACGCGAAACCGUGUGAUCUACCCAUGGGCAGGUUGAAGCUGUAGUAACAUACAGUGGAGGACCGAACCCGUUGACGUUGAAAAGUCUUGGGAUGACCUGUGGAUAGGGGUGAAAGGCCAAUCAAACUAGGAAAUAGCUCGUACUCCCCGAAAUGCAUUUAGGUGCAGCGUCGGAAUCGAGUGUCAUAGAGGUAGAGCUACUGAUUGGGCUAGGGGGCUUCACCGCCUACCAAACCCUAAUAAACUCCGAAUGCUAUGACAUAUAUCCGGCAGUGAGGGCAUGGGUGCUAAGGUCCAUGUCCGAGAGGGAAACAACCCAGACUAUCUGCUAAGGUCCCCAAAUCGGGGCUAAGUUCAUCUAACGUGGUGCGGCUGCACUGACAGCUAGGAUGUUGGCUUGGAAGCAGCCAUUCAUUUAAAGAGUGCGUAACAGCUCACUAGUCGAGCGGCCGUGCGUGGAUAAUAAUCGGGGAUAAGCCCCGUACCGAAGCAGUAGAUAGAAAUAUGGUAGGGGAGCAUUCAUACGACACUGAAGGUGUACCGUAAGGUAUGCUGGAGUCUUAUGAAAAGAAAAUGUAGGAAUGAGUAACGAUAAAGUGGGCGAGAAACCCACUCACCAUAAGACUAAGGUUUCCUGAUCAACGCUAAUCGGAUCAGGGUUAGUCGGGACCUAAGGCGAACCCGAAAGGGGUAGUCGAUGGAAAACAGAUUAAUAUUUCUGUACCUGCUACACAUUAAAAGUGACGGAGAUACGUAGUUGUUACGUGCUGACGGAAUAGCACGUUGAGCCUAGCCUUCUGGGCGAAGCGAAACAAUGAAAUAGCUUCCAAGAAAAGCAAGUGUAGCGGCCCGUACCGCAAACCGACACAGGUAGUCGAGGAGAAUAUCCUAAGGUGCUCGAGUGAAUCAUGGUUAAGGAACUAGGCAAAUUAGUCUCGUAACUUCGGGAGAAGAGACGCUCUUAUUUAUAAGAGCCGCAGUGAAUAGGCCCAAGCGACUGUUUAUCAAAAACACAUGGCUUUGCUAAAUCGAAAGAUGACGUAUAAGGCCUGACACCUGCCCGGUGCUGGAAGGUUAAGAGGAGAAGUUAGUUUCGACGAAGCUUUGAAUUGAAGCCCCAGUAAACGGCGGCCGUAACUAUAACGGUCCUAAGGUAGCGAAAUUCCUUGUCGGGUAAGUUCCGACCUGCACGAAUGGUGUAACGAUUUGGGCACUGUCUCAACCAUGAGCUCGGUGAAAUUGUAGUAUCGGUGAAGAUGCCGAUUACCCGCAACGGGACGAAAAGAC
rnacentral:rRNA from 1 species